UAUACCGUGAAACUGCGAAUGGCUCAUUAAAUCAGUUAUCGUUUAUUUGAUAAUACCUUACUACUUGGAUAACCGUGGUAAUUCUAGAGCUAAUACAUGCUGAAAAUCCCGACUUCGGAAGGGAUGUGCUUAUUAGAUAAAAAACCAAUGCCCUUCGGGGCUCUUUGGUGAUUCAUGAUAAUUUAACGGAUCGCAUAGCCUUGCGCUGGCGACGGUUCAUUCAAAUUUCUGCCCUAUCAACUUUCGAUGGUAAGGUAUUGGCUUACCAUGGUUUCAACGGGUAACGGGGAAUUAGGGUUCGAUUCCGGAGAGGCAGCCUGAGAAACGGCUACCACAUCCAAGGAAGGCAGCAGGCGCGCAAAUUACCCAAUCCCGACACGGGGAGGUAGUGACAAUAAAUACUGAUACAGGGCUCUUUUGGGUCUUGUAAUUGGAAUGAGUACAAUUUAAACCUCUUAACGAGGAACAAUUGGAGGGCAAGUCUGGUGCCAGCAGCCGCGGUAAUUCCAGCUCCAAUAGCGUAUAUUAAAGUUGUUGCAGUUAAAAAGCUCGUAGUUGAAACUUGGGCCUGGCUGGCGGGUCCGCCUCACCGCGUGCACUCGUCCGGCCGGGCCUUCCUUCUGAAGAACCUCAUGCCCUUCACUGGGCGUGCUGGGGAAUCAGGACUUUUACUUUGAAAAAAUUAGAGUGUUCAAAGCAGGCCUUUGCUCGAAUACGUUAGCAUGGAAUAAUAAAAUAGGGCGUGCGUUUCUAUUUUGUUGGUUUCUAGAGACGCCGCAAUGAUUAACAGGAACAGUCGGGGGCAUCAGUAUUCAGUUGUCAGAGGUGAAAUUCUUGGAUUUACUGAAGACUAACUACUGCGAAAGCAUUUGCCAAGGAUGUUUUCAUUAAUCAGUGAACGAAAGUUAGGGGAUCGAAGACGAUCAGAUACCGUCGUAGUCUUAACCGUAAACUAUGCCGACUAGGGAUCGGGCGAUGUUCUUUUUUGACUCGCUCGGCACCUUACGAGAAAUCAAAGU
rnacentral:rRNA from 1 species